rnacentral:tRNA from 1 species
CAAGGCUUUAGCUUAAUAAAAGUGUUUGAGUUGCAUUCAGGAGAUAUGGAGUAGACAUCCAUAAGUCUUA